rnacentral:rRNA from 1 species
AUCAUGGCUCAGAGCGAACGUUAGCGGCGGGCCUAACACAUGCAAGUCGAACGCGAAAGGUCUUCGGACUGAGUAGAGUGGCGCACGGGUGAGUAACACGUAGGUAAUCUACCCUUUGGCGGGGGAUAACGUUCCGAAAGGAGCGCUAAUACCGCAUAAGACCACGGAGUCUCCGGACGCUGUGGGAAAAGGUGGCCUCUUCUUGAAAGCUACCACCGAAGGAUGAGCCUGCGUCCCAUCAGCUAGUUGGUAAGGUAAUGGCUUACCAAGGCGAAGACGGGUAGCUGGUUUGAGAGAAUGAUCAGCCACACUGGCACUGGAACACGGGCCAGACUCCUACGGGAGGCAGCAGUGAGGAAUAUUGGGCAAUGGGCGAAAGCCUGACCCAGCCACGCCGCGUGAGUGAUGAAGGCCCUCGGGUCGUAAAGCUCUGUGGAGAGGGACGAAAACCCUGGUUUCAAAUAGGCUCCAGGCUUGACGGUACCUCUUUAGCAAGCACCGGCUAACUCUGUG